rnacentral:lncRNA from 1 species
GUUUAUAAAAGGUUUAUGAUAAACUUUUAUUUCCAAGGAAGUAAGUGGGAGCACUAUAGAAUUUCUGAUGAGUAUAUGUGGUUGACAUAUUGUUGAUCGGGAAUGAUGUAGAAUUUCUCGAAAGCAUAAAGGGUUGUUUGAAAGGACUUUUUUAAAGGAAAACCUGGAUUGAGCUACUUGAACAUUGAGCAUCAAGAUCUAUAGAGAUAGAUCAAAACGCUUAAUAGAACUUUCAAAUGAAUACAUACCGUGACAAGAUUUUGAAGAAGUUCAAAAUAGAUCAGUCAAAGAAAGAGUUCUUGGUCGUGUGAGUAUUGAGUAAGACUCAAAGCCCGACCAUGAUAGAAGAAAGAGAAAGGACAAAGGUCGCCCCUUAUGCAUUAGCCGUAGGC